rnacentral:rRNA from 1 species
UGGGGAAUAUUGGACAAUGGGCGAAAGCCUGAUCCAGCCAUGCCGCGUGUGUGAAGAAGGUCUUCGGAUUGUAAAGCACUUUAAGUUGGGAGGAAGGGCAGUAAGCUAAUACCUUGCUGUUUUGACGUUACCGACAGAAUAAGCACCGGCUAACUCUGUGCCAGCAGCCGCGGUAAUACAGAGGGUGCAAGCGUUAAUCGGAAUUACUGGGCGUAAAGCGCGCGUAGGUGGUUUUUUAAGUUGGAUGUGAAAGCCCCGGGCUCAACCUGGGAACUGCAUCCAAAACUGGCAAGCUAGAGUACGGUAGAGGGUGGUGGAAUUUCCUG